rnacentral:rRNA from 1 species
GAUGAACGCUAGCGGCAGGCUUAAUACAUGCAAGUCGAGGGGCAUCAAGGUACACGAAAGUGUAUUGUUGGCGACCGGCGGACGGGUGAGUAAUAGGUAGGUAACCUACCUCAUACUGAGGCAUAGCUGGGAGAAAUUCCAGGUAAUUCCUCAUGAGGUUAUAUGACACAUGUGAUAUAAUCAAAGGUAUCGCAAGGUACUGGUAUGAGAUGGGCUUACUGACCAUUAGCUAGUUGGUGAGAUAAGAGCUCACCAAGGCGAAGAUGGUUAGGGGUUUUGAGAGAGAGAUCCCCCACAUUGGAACUGAGAUACGGUCCAGACUCCUACGGGAGCAGCAGUAGGGAAUAUUGGGCAAUGGGCGGAAGCCUGACCCAGCCAUGCCGCGUGAAGGAAGACGGCCUUAUGGGUUGUAAACUUCUUUACUAUGCGACUAACUAGAUUUACGAGAUAAUUCUAUAGAAUGUAGCAUAGCAAAAAGCACC